rnacentral:rRNA from 1 species
AGAGUUUGAUUCUGGCUCAGAACGAACGCUGGCGGCGUGGAUAAGACAUGCAAGUCGAACGAGAGAAUUGCUAGCUUGCUAAUAAUUCUCUAGUGGCGCACGGGUGAGUAACACGUGAGUAAUCUGCCCCCGAGAGCGGGAUAGCCCUGGGAAACUGGGAUUAAUACCGCAUAGUAUCGAAAGAUUAAAGCAGCAAUGCGCUUGGGGAUGGGCUCGCGGCCUAUUAGUUAGUUGGUGAGGUAACGGCUCACCAAGGCGAUGACGGGUAGCCGGUCUGAGAGGAUGUCCGGCCACACUGGAACUGAGACACGGUCCAGACACCUACGGGUGGCAGCAGUCGAGAAUCAUUCACAAUGGGGGAAACCCUGAUGGUGCGACGCCGCGUGGGGGAAUGAAGGUCUUCGGAUUGUAAACCCCUGUCAUGUGGGAGCAAAUUAAAAAGAUAGUACCACAAGAGGAAGAGACGGCUAACUCUGUGCCAGCAGCCGCGGUAAUACAGAGGUCUCAAGCGUUGUUCGGAAUCACUGGGCGUAAAGCGUGCGUAGGCUGUUUCGUAAGUCGUGUGUGAAAGGCGCGGGCUCAACCCGCGGACGGCACAUGAUACUGCGAGACUAGAGUAAUGGAGGGGGAACCGGAAUUCUCGGUGUAGCAGUGAAAUGCGUAGAUAUCGAGAGGAACACUCGUGGCGAAGGCGGGUUCCUGGACAUUAACUGACGCUGAGGCACGAAGGCCAGGGGAGCGAAAGGGAUUAGAUACCCCUGUAGUCCUGGCAGUAAACGGUGCACGCUUGGUGUGCGGGGAAUCGACCCCCUGCGUGCCGGAGCUAACGCGUUAAGCGUGCCGCCUGGGGAGUACGGUCGCAAGAUUAAAACUCAAAGGAAUUGACGGGGACCCG